rnacentral:rRNA from 1 species
CCGAGAUGAGUUCUCCCUGACUCCUUGAGAGUCCUGAAGGAACGUUGAAGACGACGACGUUGAUAGGCCGGGUGUGUAAGCGCAGCGAUGCGUUGAGCUAACCGGUACUAAUGAACCGUGAGGCUUAACCUUACAACGCCGAAGGUGUUU